CCGACUUACUAUGUUACACAACUUUUUUGAGAAUGUUUCGGCUAGUUUUAUUUUUGGCUAUUUGUUUCUUUCGUUGCCUUUUGUUACUCGUUCUCUACGUGAUAACCUGCGGUGGUAGGCCCUCCUACUCGUGACCUCCCCGACUUGGUGUGUGUUUUUUUUUCGUGGUGCCUUCGGUUGGUUCUUACUUGAGCGCAGAGCAUCUCCUUGGUGGCCUGAAGCGGCGUGACGGGUGUGGUUUGACAAUGGCUUCUCCGAGAGGCGGGAGAACGAGGUACUGCACCUCGCAGCUGGUACAGUCGCUCGUCUUUCUAGGGUUUUAUGACCGCUACUCUGACGGUGUGUGCUUCUACGAAGUUUGUUACUAGGUUCGGAGGGUUUCUGCAGCGGCACGGCAUUGGCCUUCCUUGGACUCGAGGGGCUGUUGCAGGGGUUCUCCCACUGGUGUGUUGUGCAGUGACGACAACGGCUUAGGUCUCCUCUUUUCUUGCCUCCAAUGUUUGUUUGUCCUUUUACCGUUAUUGUUGUCUAAUGUAUGGAUUAGUCCAAGGCCAAGUCCGAGCAAAGGUAGAAGUUGGUGUGUUCGCCAGUACCUUCGACGAACGACUUCCGGGAUGGCCUACUCCUUCCGGUUUAGUCUGAGUCUGUACCUAACUACAGAGUUUAUACGGUCCUUCAUUCUACCGGUAUAAUCCGUCCCCACUAUUACGUCGAUAAUGCGAAACGGACACAGUGAAGUAGUGAAUUGGGAUCAGUUGACCAUAUCAGCGAGAGAUCAGAGAUGCGUUUUUCUUUUUCUUUUUCCUUUUCUUUUAUUCUCCACCAUCAGUUAGUCCGUCGGUUAUUGCUCUUUCUUGAUGACAACGAAACAAGUAAGUAGAUAAAUAUCGGGUGCCAUCGCGGUACCAUGUCGUUCCUCGAGUCCCCGUUUGUCGGUGUGUGGGUGAUCAAGUGCGUUCCUACUUCGGCCCAACAAGAGCCGAAGAAAAAUAGACGGAAAGCCGCUGUACCCACGACCGGUGCCGGCUACAUGCCCGUCCGGUCGCAGGACCGACGGGCCGCUUCACGCCGCUGCAGCGUUAGGGUAAGGGCAAGCCGUAGCCACUCGUGACACGCAACGUGUUGCCGAAAUUGGAACUGACGUGCUCGUAGUUGUCGUGGUGCUUCGGAGCAUGCCCAGGUAAGCUCCACUGGCUAUAGAGGCAGGGGCUGUUGUUCUAGGCCUAUUUUUACUCGAAGAGGACCGUCACGAUGAGGGGUCGAUGAGCGUCAUACUUAAUGAAACUACGUACCAACUCGAAGUGGUUAUGUGGUAAGAGCUAUAGCCUUCACCUAUUGUUUUAAUAGCAGUAGCCUACGUUACGAGAGCGAAUAUACUCCUCGAGAAGAAUGCAUUAUCCAACGAUAAGGUGUACGUUCUUAAAGUGGGAGCUCUUACCGUUUACGAGACCGCGACCGACAACAGUUCGGCUACAGGGUUUCCCGUAUGUCAUAAUAGCACCGAUAAAGUUGCUUUUGAUGUUGUGAUGAGUUUAUACCGUUCGGUUAGGAACGUUAAUGUACCGUGACUACCUAUUCCGUCGAAAGUCAAAGUUGUGGUCGAUACAGUUUAGGUUUCACAAGAUACUCUGUAUGUUCCCCCCUCAGGGAGAACAGCGCUUGACCCAUUAUUCUGGCACCUGAACGUUCCGUCGAUUUUUCUUGUACUCAUGGAUACGCACGGAGUCGUCGGUAUCACGCACACAACUAAGGUGGUGGUUGCUAGGUCCAAUGGUAACGUUCACGAGGUUACCCAUGUUUCCGUUGGGAAUGUAGUGCCGACCUACGGUUCCAUGGAGGGCAAAAGGACGGAAGAUGGAGUGAAUGUAAAAAGUGGUAGAGUACAUCUAGUACUCAUAUGUGUAACAUAUUGAUGAACUUGAUUUUUGUAAAGAAAGGGUCUAUAACUGCUCACGGCACUUUUUAGAUUAGGAACGCCGGGUCCCUAGACGUUCUUAUGCGUCCCCUUUAUGUCAACGAGUACGGUGGGACCCUUGAUAUACUGUUUACCACAGACGCAUGGUUAAGGUUUCAGAGGGGUAAAAGGACGCCACGGUCAGCAUCCACACAAGAAGAGAAACGACUCACUCGUAUCUGUAGUAGUGAUGAUUUUUCCCUUUCGAGUUGGGGGGGUUGGUGGGUGGGUUUUACUGAUAACUAAACCGUCAAAAAAAAGAGUUUAUACAAGUUAUAAGGGGAGGUUUCGAUAUGAUGAAUAUAAAUACAGAAAUGGGGGAUGGAAAGAACCUACGACCUAAAGUACUGAAACUGUUACCAAAACGGGCGUUCCGUAAUAGGUUCAAGAUCCUUCUAGCCUAUAACCAAUGCUGACGGAGACUGCGAACAAGAAGUAGCUUCUGGUACCACCACCGUCACCAACAGAUCGAGUGACUCGAACGCGGGGCGGUAGUCACCAGUCCAUGACUAAAAAAAAAAGUUUUUACUCCAACUGGGGCCUCACCAGUCCAUAACUAUCCACUAACACGUAGUCCGUUGCUUUUCGCCACAGACGACGACGGUGUACAGUAAAACACACACGUCAUAAACCUACUGUACCUACAGUGUGACCGUCUUGUUGGUAGGUCCAACAGUUCUGGCUACAGCAGGUUUUGACCAGAGUCAUCACUUUACUUGAUCGGUGAUAGCAAACUUCCUCUUUGACUAGGUUACUAUCAAAAUUUCCCUUUCACUUAGUUUAUUUAUCAAACUUGCUGGUUCUUUAAGAAUCAAACCUCAAACCUGGUACCAUAUUUUGUAUUGAGGUUGUUGUCAUGAUCUAAAGUCACCCGGUGACACAAACUAAAGUUUUCUUGUUUUGUUCUGUGAUCAGCGGCUUUAAAUCAAACUUUUCCAUGAGUAUUGAUAUAAACCUAACUAUUAGUACGUCCACGUUCACAACCCGAGCAGUAGUAACACUAACAAUAACGGAAACGUACGAAGUAGGUUCUCUCUGCCUUCGAUGUCUUGUACUUUGUCUUGAUGAAGGCCGUCGUACCACCGGAGUAUGAUAAACUUCUCUACUUCAGCUUCGUUCCGGAAUGUAAGUUUUAGAAGAGUCUCCUUCUUGACGUUGUUCGGUGCUUGUUCAAGUCACUUGUUGUUCAGAAUCCAGUACCCCCCGUACCCUGACACAUAUUCCCUGAAAAGUUGGCGUUGCACCUCCACCGCCAGUUCUCUACGUACUGGUAGUUGCUCGUUGUGUUCUUCCUCAAGCCAUUCCUCUACGAUUAGGAUAGGGUUUAGUUGGUGUUUUUGUAACACUUUGAAGACCCUACGACGGAGCUUCACCUUCAGGGGUACAACCAAAUACUCAAGCAGGGUUUGCCGUGAGAAAUGGUAGAGUAGGUGCCGUUGGUACCGGCUGCAUAGGGGAAUCGGUGAGCGAACCCCUAGCGAGUACUCAGGCGCCUGCGCGAGAGGAUGGAAGUGAGUAGGUGAAGCUGUGGUUAGGAAGUACCACUACAGUUCAGGAGGUUAUAGGAGGAACUACCGCUGAUGUUCCGAUUUCAGAGGCUGAAGCCACGGAGAUAGGACCGUGGUUGGCUACUCAGUGUUAAACAGUGUGAACAUGUUCCCUGCACGCCCAUGGAACUGGGCCUCAUGUACGUUUGUACGGUCAACUGUCUGUUCUCACUGCACAUGUCGAAACCACAGCAAGAAGACCUCGACGAGUGCCCCUUCUUCGGGAAAUCAGAACUACGGAGACUGGUUCUCUUCUCGGAUAGUUACUACAAAUACAGACGUCACUUCCUCUUAUUCGAAGUCCUCUAGAACCUACUACCCUAGUUCGUUCUGUUGUACCUCCAAGAACUUCUCUAGCGCCUCGAUCGCUUCGUUACGAACCUCUACACACCAUGCUUAUCCGGUAGUUACUUCCUUCAACGCCUCUUCGAACUAUCCAACUCCUUCCACUACGUUGUAGGGACCCACGUUGACGUCGUUCUGGGACUUCUCUUACUUUCAAAUGAACCCGUCGCUAGCCGUUACCAGUUGAGCUGCCAACAAUCACGACUUAUAAAAUCGUAGCUCUUCCUUCGUCACUGCUCAGACCCUAGACCGGCUACUCAUUAGCAUGGAAUCUGGACAGGACCACGUUCAUAGUAUUUCCCAUAGUUACGUCACGGUGGAUUCCUUUUGCUACUACGCCGUAACGUUAAUUCUUACACUCUCUUCUAACAUCGUAGUAUAACACCUUGUCAUAUUGUGUAAUUUGCUCUUUUUAAAUAUUCUUUAUCUAGUAUAGGUGUUGAAAUACAAACCUUAACCUAAGAUGUUUACCUAUUUACUUUACUAUUAUACUACGAUACGUCACACUUAUGUCAUUGAUUUCAUCAUAGUAAAAACCUUUUCCCCUGAUUUCAUCAUAGUACGUGACACUAUAUAUAAUACGUCACGCUCACUGGAAUAACAUUAUAUUAGUUAGUCAAACAGAUAGAAAUAAUAGACAAAGAGUAUUUGACAGCUAGCAUUAUAGUAGCAUAUAAUAGUACCUCUGCCUACCAUUUACAAACUGAAUGGAAAAUUUAAGUUACAUUUCCUUGAUUUAUAAAAACGUAAUGUUCAUGG
rnacentral:rRNA from 1 species